CCAUUUAGAAUGCGAAGAACACAACUACCUUUAGCGGUUUGCUUUGCAAUGACUAUCAACAAAAGCAAAGGUCAAUCUUUGAAAAGAGUAGGAAUUUUUUUACCUAGGUCUUGCUUUUCACACGACCAACUUUAUGUUGCCAUAUCCAGAGUUACAUCAAAGACAGGAUUAAAGAUUCUGAUUGUGGAUGAUGAAGGUAAGCCACAAAAGCAAAAAAAAAAUGUAGUUUUCAAAAAAGUUUUUAAGAAUCUUUAGUUUCCAUUUGUUUUUUACUU
rnacentral:sRNA from 1 species